GUGAGGAAUAUUGGUCAAUGGGCGAGAGCCUGAACCAGCCAAGUCGCGCGAAGGAUGAAGGUUUUAUGAAUUGUAAACUUCUUUUGCAGGGGAAUAAAGUACGGUACGUGUACCGUUUUGUAUGUACUCUGCGAAUAAGGAUCGGCUAACUCCGUGCCAGCAGCCGCGGUAAUACGGAGGAUCCAAGCGUUAUCCGGCUUUAUUGGGUUUAAAGGGUGCACAGGCGGGUUGAUAAGUCAGCGGUGAAAGUUUGCAGCUUAACUGUAAAAUUGCAGUGGAAGCGGUGCAUCUAGAGUGGAAAUGGAGUAGGCGGAAUGCGUGGUGUAGCGGUGAAAUGCAUAGAUAUCACGCAGAACUCCGAUUGCGAAGGCAGCUUACUAAUCUACAACUGACACUGAAGCACGAAAGCGUGUGGAUCAAACAGGAUUAGAUACCCCGGUAGUCC
rnacentral:rRNA from 1 species